rnacentral:tmRNA from 1 species
AUUCCGGUCGGCAUACGGGGUGCAGUCAAUUUAAGGUUAGUCUUAGCCCACCUUUGGCGAAAGGCGAAAAUUUAAGAGGAUAAGCGAUGGCUUGGGUGUCACUUUCCGGACCAUCGUCGAAAACCAAUAAGCGACUAAGCAUGUAGAAAGCAUAUGGAUUCCGUGUUUGGACCAGGAUUCGAUUCCCUGCUGCUCCACAA